UACGAAGGGGGCUAGCGUUGCUCGGAAUCACUGGGCGUAAAGCGCACGUAGGCGGAUUCUUAAGUCAGGGGUGAAAUCCUGGAGCUCAACUCCAGAACUGCCUUUGAUACUGAAGAUCUUGAGUUCGGGAGAGGUGAGUGGAACUGCGAGUGUAGAGGUGAAAUUCGUAGAUAUUCGCAAGAACACCAGUGGCGAAGGCGGCUCACUGGCCCGAUACUGACGCUGAUGCACGAAAGCGUGGGGAGCAAACAGG
rnacentral:rRNA from 1 species